rnacentral:miRNA from 1 species
AUGGUGUCGAUGACCGGAAGGGGUCCUUCCGGUCAUCAAAUGGUCUUGAUGACCGGAAGGGAUUCCUUCCGGUCAUCGAGACCAU